AUGAACGCUGGCGGCAUGCCUAACACAUGCAAGUCGAACGAAGCCUUCGGGCUUAGUGGCGCACGGGUGCGUAACGCGUGGGAAUCUGCCCCUUGGUUCGGAAUAACAGUUAGAAAUGACUGCUAAUACCGGAUAACGACGUAAGUCCAAAGAUUUAUCGCCGAGGGAUGAGCCCGCGUAGGAUUAGCUAGUUGGUGUGGUAAAAGCGCACCAAGGCGACGAUCCUUAGCUGGUCUGAGAGGAUGAUCAGCCACACUGGGACUGAGACACGGCCCAGACUCCUACGGGAGGCAGCAGUGGGGAAUAUUGGACAAUGGGCGAAAGCCUGAUCCAGCAAUGCCGCGUGAGUGAUGAAGGCCUUAGGGUUGUAAAGCUCUUUUACCCGGGAUGAUAAUGACAGUACCGGGAGAAUAAGCCCCGGCUAACUCCGU
rnacentral:rRNA from 1 species